UCGGGCGCCGCAGGUUGCGCAUCUGGCGCAGGAGCGCGCCCCGCGCAGUGCCCGCUGCAACGGUAGCGAGGGCUGGCGCUCCGGAGCUUGCCGGGCGCAGUCUCCCCACGCGGGGGCACCAGAGCCCUCGGAAGUGUCAGGCACUGCGGUGCAUUUUCCCAGUUCCCUUUUAAAUGACUGCGGAAAAACAGACUCUGAGCCGCAAAUGGGAAGAAGGAUUCUCAGACACGGCUUUCGAUACCCGCAGCCACCAUUUAACUGCGUCCGCAGAGCAGUUAUGGUUUGACACCCGACCCUCCCGGACCGCCUCCUUCACCCCCGUGGGACCCGAGGAGCUGCCCGCUCCGGGCUUCUCCUUAGCUGGAUGCACGUUGUGCUCCUGGCAGCGCGGGCGCAGGGUACGCGUCCGCGCACACCCGCGCACACCCGCGCACACCGCACGCGCGCAAGGUUGGAGCAGGAGAGAAAAUGACGCGGCAGCGCACACCGGACAGGCCGGGACGCCCCGUGCAGUGACCCAGUCCGCACCAGGCGCACCUUGCCCUCACGCGUCUCCAUUUCGCUGGCGUGUGAUGGCACAAAAGGACAGGAAAAGACCCACAGCUAAAGCUGAACCAAGCCCAGUUUCCAUUUCAAAAAGGGUGACAGUCUCUACUGCAGUGGCAGAGCAGACCUCCGUGCGAACCAGGGGCCGAGAGGCGUCGAGAGGCGGAGCGGUCCAUCCCGGAGACUAAUUUUCUGGAGUUUCUGCCCCUGCUCUGCGUCAGCCCUCACGUCACUUCGCCAGCAGUAGCAGAGGCGGCGGCGGCGGCUCCCGGAAUUGGGUUGGAGCCGGAGCCGGAGCCGGAGCCAGAGCCGGAGCCGGAGCCUCGCUGCUCCUUCUCUCGUGCGCUGCGCUCCGAGCCGGCGGCAGGAGGAGCCCGGACACGGGCGCGGAGCCGGCACCGAGGUGCGUGCCGGAUCCCCGUGCACGUCUAGCCAGGAAUCUGCGCCCUAGAGCGUCCCCGGCGCCGAGGGUCGGUGCCCGGCGUGCUAACCAUGCGUCUGCGAUCAAGGCCGAGCUGCGGGCGGCGUUAGCGCCCUCUG